UACGUAGGGUGCGAGCGUUAAUCGGAAUUACUGGGCGUAAAGUGUGCGCAGGCGGCCGAGCAAGUCGAGUGUGAAAGCCCCGGGCUUAACUUGGGAAUGGCAUUUGGGACUGCAAGGCUUGAGUGCGGCAGAGGAGACUGGAAUUCCCGGUGUAGCAGUGAAAUGCGUAGAUAUCGGGAGGAAUACCGAUGGCGAAGGCAGGUCUCUGGGCUGACACUGACGCUCAUGCACGAAAGCGUGGGGAGCAAACAGG
rnacentral:rRNA from 1 species